rnacentral:RNase_P_RNA from 1 species
CCAGGGGGCCGGGCAGCCGCGUUAUCUUAGGAUACCGAGGAAAGUCCGGGCUCCACGAAACAAGGGUGGCGGGUAACGCCCGCCGGGCUUCAAUAUCGCAAGAUGGCGAGGUCAAGGGACAGUGCCACAGAGAGCAAACCGCCUCUCUUAGAGGUAAGGGUGAAAGGGUGCGGUAAGAGCGCACCGCGUGACCGGCAACGGAAACGGCAUGGUAAACCCCACCCGGAGCAAGGCCAAAUAGGGGCGGCGCGCUGAGUAAUCAGCAGAUGCGUUUCGCAUCGACCGCCCGGGUUGGCUGCUUGAGCUGCGAAGCAAUCCGUAGCCUAGAGGAAUGGCUGCCCUUGCGGAUCGGGUCCUUCGGGAAACCACCCGCAAGACAGAACCCGGCUUACAGGCUCCCUGGUACU